CGAUGUCACUAAUCGACCUGUAGCAAAGAAUCAAAGGGGUCGGGGUGCCCAACAGCAGCAGGGGCGAGCUGUAGCCCAUGCAACUACAGGCAGGCAGGCCGAUGCACCUGACGCGGUUGUUACAGGUACGUGAGGCGUCGAGUCAAGAGAGGGCGCGUCGAUCGAUGUGGGUUGUCACAGAGGAAGCGUGUCCCGGGGCGUCAGUCUAGUUUACUAAAUAGUACACUUUGUCUCACAUGUUCCUUUCCUUGUUUUUCUUUUACCUAGGCACUUAUGUCCUUCUAAUAAAGAUAUGUUUUUCUUUUGAAACAAAUGAUUUCCUUGAAUUUCUCGUUUAUGCAUUACAUGUCAUACAAUGUUA